AUUGCUUCUUGGCCUUUUGGCUUAGAUCAUGUGUAGUUUCUGUUCUUACCAGUUUAAUACCUGGUGUGUCCCUUAGGUGGGGACAAUGUACUAAACUGAUUUUUGGAACAGGGAGUUGGGCUAGGAGUUUGCUCUGUCCUCUCCAAGCAUCAACCUAGUAUUGCAGUACUUCUGGGAAUGGUGCACUUCCU